GGGCGCAAGCCUGAUGCAGCGACGCCGCGUGCGGGAUGGAGGCCUUCGGGUUGUAAACCGCUUUUGUUCAAGGGCAAGGCACGGCUUCGGGCCGUGUUGAGUGGAUUGUUCGAAUAAGCACCGGCUAACUACGUGCC
rnacentral:rRNA from 1 species